UGAGGAAUAUUGGUCAAUGGACGCAAGUCUGAACCAGCCAUGCCGCGUGAAGGAUGAAGGCCUUCUGGGUUGUAAACUUCUUUUACCUGGGAAGAAAAGUAUGGUUUCUACUAUACCCGACGGUACCAGAGGAAUAAGCACCGGCUAACUCCGUGCCAGCAGCCGCGGUAAUACGGAGGGUGCAAGCGUUAUCCGGAUUUACUGGGUUUAAAGGGUGUGUAGGCGGGCUUUUAAGUCAGUGGUGAAAUCUCCGGGCUCAACCUGGAAACUGCCAUUGAUACUAUUAGUCUUGAAUUCUGUUGAGGUAGGCGGAAUAAGUCAUGUAGCGGUGAAAUGCUUAGAUAUGACUUAGAACACCAAUUGCGAAGGCAGCUUGCUAAACAGAUAUUGACGCUGAGGCACGAAAGCGUGGGGAUCAAACAGG
rnacentral:rRNA from 1 species